rnacentral:rRNA from 1 species
UCCGGUGGUCAUGGCGGAGAGGAAACGCCCGGUUACAUUCCGAACCCGGAAGCUAAGCUUUCCAGCGCCGAUGGUACUGCAUGGGGGACCGUGUGGGAGAGUAGGACACCGCCGGAC